rnacentral:rRNA from 1 species
GGGUAAACCUGCGAAACUCGAAUGAACGAACGGAGAGAUUCAUCGUCAUUCCGCGGCGUACGCGUUCGCACCUCGAUGGCAUCCGAUCUAGGUCGGCGGUCACGGGUCGUGCGCGGUCAACGUUCGCGGACGGCGUGCACUUCUCUCUCAGUAAUGCAUCGCGACCCGUUCGACGCGGGUCUAAGCGGCGUCCGGGAGCCCGACGCGUGCCCCCUCAAAAGGGCACCGUCGGACCGCGACGUCGGCCGGCCCGCGUUACGGACGGUACGUAUCGCGAAACGCGCACGCGUUACAAAACGCGUCCGGCCCGACGCAAGGCAACGCCGUAUACGGAGUCCUGCCGUCGUGCGGAAUCCGUUGCGGCGCGCCUGUCGUCGCAGCCGUGCUGUCUCGGACCGUGCGCGUCUCGGUCUGCGAUGAUUCAGUUUCGGGCACUCGCAGGACCCGUCUUGAAACACGGACCAAGGAGUCUAGCAUGUGUGCGAGUCAUUGAGAUUCUAUAAACUGAAAGGCUCAACGAAAGUGAAGGCGGACGCUAGACGUCCGCUCAGGGAGGAUGGGGACACGAUCGCGAUCGUUCCCUCGCACUCCCGAGGCGUCUCGUUUCCAAUCCGUGAAUGCAGGCGCGCUCUGAGCACAGAUGCUGGGACCCGAAAGAUG